AUACAGUUGGUCACUGUUCCAUACUGGGAGCCACUUCAAGGAUGCAGCCUUGAGAGUAAUACCUUAUUACGACCAUUUGAACUGUGUAUGUGAUUGAACUCCGUUAAGGCCUCUAUAUAAACUUUUAAGAUUCUAGCAGUCGAGUGGGUGGUAAGUUCCUUUCCUCAUUAAACCUGCCACCCACCAAUCUGGAGUGGCCUACCUCUCUUUUCCCGUCUCUCCUUGCCCUAAGUGCACUGGGCCAGUUUCAAAUUUCACCUGGGGGAACUCCAGAGGUUGUGAACAAACAGAAAUAUAAAGAAAGAUCACCAUGGAUAAAGCAUGCUUGGUGGUUUUGGAAUUUAGAGGAAGUAAUGUUAUUGUUUACAACAGUGUUACUCUUCAUUAUGAGAUUUUUUUGAUCAUUAUAGUACUCUGUAAAGUUGCAAGUAAUCGCUAACAAACUCCCUCACUAAGAGAAAUUUAUAUUAAUUAAAAAAAUCUUACAAUAAAUACGCCAAAAUUAAACAAACGAGACGAAUUUAUAUAGUCUGAACACUUUUUAGUUGCCUGUAGAAUUUGGAUCAAGUUCAAUAGACACAGGUAAAUAAACUAGAAGAAAUUGCUUGAAUAAGGUAGAUAGCAUCACUUAGCAGCUGAUUCUUGUUCCGACAAAAUUUAGAGAGUAAGACAACUUUCAAGUAAAAUGGACUUGAUUUUCUUGUUCCCCAAGAGAAAAGAAUCAAGCUACUUAGGUAGGUGGAGUGAGGACUAGAACCCAAGCCUUCUGCCUCCCAGCUGAUAGUUCUCUGAUUUUCCACAGUCCUCGAGCAUUUACACACCAGCUCCAGGCGCUACCUAAGCCAGGUGCUCUCACUUUUCCAGCCCGGAUCUUCACUCACUCCUAAGAUCCUUUAACGAGUGUUCUGAGAGCUGUGCAGUCCUUCGAUUCAUUCAAAGCAUUCUACAGCGAACACUAGGGGGGAAAAGAACAAACAAGAUAAAUUUCAAAUAUAGGAUUCAAUUACUUUUCACAACUCGAUGAUGUGUCAAAGGCACGCUGUGUUUUGUUUUGAGGGCGGGGAGAUGACUGGGAGGGAAUCCUGGGCCCCCAUUGGCUGGCCGCUCUCCGCUGCAGUUGAGCUCCAGCCGCUCGGAGAGGAUUAUUGAUCUGAAGGGUAAACGUGGAGGGAGCCACAGAGAGGGGUCCAAGCGUUUCUGAGAAGAGAGGCAGCCUCUUCCAGGAAGAAAGUGGUGUCUGCUGGCUGCCCAGCUUGGAGAACCUUCUAUGAAUAAACGGGGACAGAAUGCAAGGCAGUUUGUUGCUACAGUGAUUUAGAAGGAAAACAAGAAGGAGAGAAAGAGAAAGGUCUCACCUUCCGUGCGAGCCGGGGUUGUAGCAUCCUGCUGCCGCCGUCUCUGCUUCUGCUCCUGCAGCUGCCGUGUCUGCCACCAGAGGCUGGAAAGUUCAAGAUCAAGGUGUCAGCAGAUUCAGUUCCUGCUUUGGCUCUAUUUGGGAAUAUAGUCCAUUUGGAACUCAGUAGCACUUUGGAGUUUUAAAGAAUGCCAGCCUUUUUAAAGAAUUUGAUCUAAGGAUCCUCAAUUCGAUCAACUUCAAAGAUUACCUCAGCAGAGGCUGAAUUAAUUACACUUGAAUAGUUUGUUCUCCAAGAUGAGGAAGCUGAGACAUACAGAAGUUAAGAAAUGGACCCAUUUUCACAAGUAGCAGAGCAAUGAGAGAUAAGGAAAAUGUCCUAUUCAUGAACCUUACUUUUGAAGAUAUACAUUAGUUCCAAUGUAUACUGAUGUUUUUCCAAACUCAGUAAUUUGCACAAUAUUCUUGAGCAGGUACCCUACUUCAACAAGUUGUGCCCUCUCUCACCUAUACCUUAUUGGAGCCUCUGCGUAGCCUUACCACCAUCCAUCAGUCUCAGUAGAAGACUGUCCAACACCUAACCAUUCCUCUGGUGUUCUCUAUCAGAGGAGCCUGCCUUCCCCACAGUCUUGCCCUUCCAAUGUAUCUUCAUCCUCUUCCAAUGAAAUCUCAACCUGACCCAUUUUAAAACAAAGAAACAGGACAAAAAUAAAUGAAGUAU
rnacentral:lncRNA from 1 species